AGUGAACGCUGGCGGUAGGCCUAACACAUGCAAGUCGAACGGCAGCACAGUAAGAGCUUGCUCUUACGGGUGGCGAGUGGCGGACGGGUGAGGAAUACAUCGGAAUCUACUUUUUCGUGGGGGAUAACGUAGGGAAACUUACGCUAAUACCGCAUACGACCUACGGGUGAAAGCAGGGGAUCUUCGGACCUUGCGCGAUUGAAUGAGCCGAUGUCGGAUUAGCUAGUUGGCGGGGUAAAGGCCCACCAAGGCGACGAUCCGUAGCUGGUCUGAGAGGAUGAUCAGCCACACUGGAACUGAGACACGCUCCAGACUCCUGCGGGAGGCAGCAGUGGGGAAUAUUGGACAAUGGGCGCAAGCCUGAUCCAGCCAUACCGCGUGGGUGAAGAAGGCCUUCGGGUUGUAAAGCCCUUUUGUUGGGAAAGAAAAGCAGCAGGUUAAUACCCCGCUGUUCUGACGGUACCCAAAGAAUAAGCACCGGCUAACUUCGUG
rnacentral:rRNA from 1 species